rnacentral:rRNA from 1 species
GGGGGAUAACAGUACCGGAAACGGGUGCUAAUACCGCAUAGUUUUCUUGAUCGCAUGAUUGAGAAAGGAAAGACGGGCCUUUGUGCUGUCGCUUAUGGGAUGGACCCGCGGCGUAUUAGUUAGUUGGUGAGGUAACGGGCUACACCAAGACGAUGAUACGUAGCCGGCCUGAGAGGGUGAUCGGCCACAUUGGGACUGAGACACGGCCCAAACUCCUACGGGAGGCAGGCAGUAGGGAAUCUUCCGGCAAUGGACGAAAGUCUGACGGAGCAACGCCGCGUGAGUGAAAGAAGGUUUUCGGAUCGUAAAACUCUGUUGUCAGAGAAGAACAAGUUGGAGAGUAACUGCUCCAGCCUUGACGGUAUCUGACCAGAAAGCCACGGCUAACUACGUGCCAGCCGCCGC